AAUGUCAGAGUUGGUUGUAGCUGGUCUCUGGGAUUAAUUUCUUUGGAGACAAUGUGCACACCUUCUCUUUCAUCCACUCACCCCUGUGCACUUGUGAGGCAGGUUAGUUGGAGGACUUUAUUAAUUUAUUGGACUCCCUCUGUCUACUUAAUUUACACAAACUCCAAUUGAUUUUAAAACGAAUGUAAUUGAUGUAACGCAUCUAAUACU
rnacentral:misc_RNA from 1 species